rnacentral:lncRNA from 7 species
CUCUAUCUGGGGAUCCCUUCUUUCCCCUGUGAACCUGGAAUCUUCUGAUACAGAGGACAGACUGCCAUUUUAAACUAAGUUAUGCCGAAGAUCUAACACCAUAGUCCACAAUAUGAAGCUUCUGAAAUGUGGAGGAUGUGACAGCAGAAGAUCUCUGAUCCAUCACCGAAUUAUUUGCUAAACUUCAACUUCAAUCAACAGAAGCAAGCAAAAUUCAUAAGAAGUUCCUUUGUAGUUGUUUGUGUUGAGGCAUGGAUGUUUUGACAGAAAACAGUUAUUUCUGUUGUUCUUCCAGCUUCUAUGAGAGUGGGCCUGGCCCAGGAGGCCGCUGCUGGAGUGAGCAGGUGCUGCUCUGUCACCAUGGGAGGAGCUCACAGUAGGGCUGUGUUGUGUGCAGGGCACUGCAGCCUCUCCUCCAGGACUCGUUUCUGCCCUGCAUGAGUACGGAUUGUGUUUUAAGUGUAACUCCCUAGAAUUUUAUAAUACUGUUGCAUUUUCGGUCUGUCUUCUACUUAACAUCAUCUGCUUUGGGCUUGUUGACAGGUGCUUAAAUAACUUACACAGUAAUGUUAUAUAAAAGAGAGGCUCGUCAUAAGGCGCUGGAACUGUGAUAUAAAUCGAUAUCUAUCACUGAAUGCUGGUUGUGGAAAAAUGUCAGAUUUGCUGUUAGGGAGUUAAAGUUUGGAUGAAGCUUCUAUAGCUAUGCAUCUUCCAAAUUCUGCCUGCUUUUCCAUGUUAUUGUUCUCUUAAUGCUGUUUAAAAGCGUGGUGGUCACAAACCCCAUGCAACCAUUAACAAUAAUAAGAUACAAUUUCAGAGAAAAAUGAGCAAUUUGUGUGAAAAUGUCUUGAGCUCUAAGCAAAUGCAAAGGGAGCCUGCUUUAUUGUCAGAAAAGUUUCAGAAACUUCACAUGCAGAAUGUACAGAAAGCAUCUUUCAGGCAUGAUUUUGAAAAUUGCUAAUAU